rnacentral:misc_RNA from 1 species
GAUGAAGAACGUAGCGAAAUGCGAUAAGUAGUGUGAAUUGCAGAAUUCAGUCAAUCAUCGAAUCUUUGAACGCACAUUGCGCCCUUUGGUAUUCCAAAGGGCAUGCCUGUUCGAGCGUCAUUUGUACCCUCAAGCUUUGCUUGGUGUUGGGCGUCUUGUCUCUAGCUUUGCUGGAGACUCGCCUUAAAGUAAUUGGCAGCCGGCCUACUGGUUUCGGAGCGCAGCACAAGUCGCACUCUCUAUCAGCAAAGGUCUAGCAUCCAUUAAGCCUUUUUUUCAACUUUUGACCUCGGAUCAGGUAGGGAUACCCGCUGAACUUAAGCAUAUCAAUAAGCGGAGGA